ACUGCUUGGGCGCCGGUUUGGAAUUCUGACCCUUACAAAAUCCCUCUCCAUAUUUUAAAACAAGCAGAGCAGAAGAACAAUGGUUAAUAAAUAUCAAUCCACUGAGAUCAAAAGUUUCUGUGAAAGGCUGGGAGACGUGCAGCAGGGUGAAAGCCCUGCCUCGCUUCAUUAUUGAGAGCCAGGUGAAGACCCUGCACAGCCCAUCAGCGCGGCGGAGGGAGCUGACAGCCCCGCUGCCCCCGUGAUGGAUGGCGCCGCGUCCCGCCGCGCCGAGCGGGGGCUGCCGCCCGCUGCCCUGCCCCACGGGCGCGGGGUGCCGCGCUCCUCACACCGCCCGCCCUCCCCGGGGACGGCCAGGCAAACGCACAAUAAGCUCUGACACAAAUAGUGUUUAUAAAAUAUUGCUCCUCUGGGACCGCCUUGCCUGCAGUCGUCAGGAUGCUACUAGUUGCAAUAAAAUGGAACUGCUCUUUUACUCCUCACCACAAUUACUGCCGAUGUCUGUUCCUUGACAGAGCGGGGGCUUGCCGGACUGAGCUUUCUCUGAUGAGGAAGCUAACUGGGAAGAGAGCUGCUUUUACCUCCCUGCGCAAUGCCUGGCUUGCAUAAGCAGCCUAAUAAACCCUGCACAGUUCUGCGAGACCUUUCGGUGCAUACAGAGCAGCCCUGAGACCAGGUUGCGACAGCCAGAUAGAAAUGUUAGCUCUGCUCCAGAGGUCCGGGGGAUUUUAGAGUUGGGAUGAGACGCGAUCGCCUCGUUCCUUGCUCCCACACAUCUUAACGACCACAGGCGGGUUCGCACAAAGGAUGGGAACAUCGUCACCAGUUUCAGUUCAGCCCCCUUCUGCUGCGCCGCGUCCCCCCUGCAGAUCAGGCCCGUCCUGUGAUCCCGUGCUGGCAAUGUUUACCUACCUCUGAUAAUAAAUGCUGCGAGAGGAAAAGCAAAAAACAUCUGCGGGCCAGGAGAACGCCAAGCAAAUGGGAGUCCCGUCGCAGGAGCAGCCUGCUCCGAUUGCGGCAUAAUUCAUUUUACAAUGUAUAAGAAAAGUUGAGUUAUUGGGACAUGUGACAUUUAUUUAGUUACAUAUCUCCUGUGGGAGGUUUCUGGGGCCAUUAAUGUAGUGUAUUUGCAUGGCUAGUUUACAUGCCUUUGCUUGUUAUUGCUGUCUAUAUUCCAUGCACCUCACACUCAAUUUCAAUUCAAAGUUUGGCAGUUGAGGUGUCACGACUAAAAAAUGGAAUGGCCUCCCUCAGAAAUGAAAUAAUUUUGUUGUUCAGUUCCGAGCGAUUUUGUAAUUUCAUGCUUGUGUAUGAUAAUUUUAUGCUGUCCUGCUCCACGUAACUCAGCUCUGCCAAACCCUGACAGGUGAUAAAUACAAUCUUUUCCGCCCGGCAUGCGACAGGCCAGUAUGAGGAGAAGGGGAAAAAAAAGUGGCGAUUUCACAUCUGAGGUCUUAGCACAAGCGGAGCGACCGCAGGCCCAUUCCUUCAUAAUUUCACGCCUGGAUUCAGGCAGGCGCACCCCCUCUGCUGUGGCUGAAGGACCCAAGGGUCAAGGAAAGUGUCCUGGAAAUGGAAUAAUGCUGGAAAGGAGCCAGCCGAUGUUGUGUAUGAAGGGAGAAAGUUAUGACUUUGGUGUGUCCCCUUCCGAGGGCUCCUGGACGCGGUGCAUGAUUUAGAGCACAGCCUCUCUCUAAUGGAGUUCAAUAGAACCGUAACCUUUUGGAGAAAUUAUUUUUACAAAUCUGUUAAACAUUUGAAAGACAGCAAUUUCCAAUAAAAGAAUAUGAGUCCUUAACAUUUAUCA